rnacentral:rRNA from 1 species
GGAGGGUCCAAGCGUUGUUCGGAAUCACUGGGCGUAAAGCGCGUGUAGGCGGCUUGGCAAGUCGGGUGUGAAAUCCCGGGGCUCAACCCCGGAACUGCACCCGAAACUGCCUCGCUAGAGUCCCGGAGAGGAUGGCGGAAUUUCCGGUGUAGAGGUGAAAUUCGUAGAUAUCGGAAGGAACACCAGUGGCGAAGGCGGCCAUCUGGACGGUGACUGACGCUGAGGCGCGAAAGCGUGGGGAGCAAACAGGAUUAGAUACCCUGGUAGUCCACGCCGUAAACGUUGAGUGCUAGACGUCGGGGGUAUUGACCCCCCUCCCGGUGUCGAAGCUAACGCAUUAAGCACUCCGCCUGGGGAGUACGGUCGCAAGACUA